CUACGGGAGGCUCCAGUGAGGAAUUUUGCGCAAUGGGGGAAACCCUGACGCAGCAACGCCGCGUGAGUGAUGAAGAUUUUCGGAUCGUAAAGCUCUGUCAAGCGGGAAAAAAUACUUUCGGUUAAUACCCGAAAGGACUGAUGGUACCGCUGGAGGAAGCACCGGCUAACUCCGUGCCAGCAGCCGCGGUAAUACGGAGGGUGCAAGCGUUGUUCGGAUUUACUGGGCGUAAAGAGCGUGUAGGCGGUUUAGCAAGUCAGAUGUGAAAGCCCUGGGCUCAACUCAGGAAGUGCAUUUGAAACUGCUAUACUAGAGUAUGGGAGAGGAGAUUGGAAUUCCCAGUGUAGAGGUGAAAUUCGUAGAUAUUGGGAGGAACACCGGUGGCGAAGGCGACUCUCUGGACCAAUACUGACGCUGAGACGCGAAAGCGUGGGGAGCAAACAGGAUUAGAUACCCCCGUAGUC
rnacentral:rRNA from 1 species